ACUUAGUUGUUGUUUCUGCAAGAGCAGUGCCUCUUGGUCUCAAGACUGAGAUUUAAUUUGCUCACCGUAGGAUAUAAUUAGUAUCACUUAUGCUUUACAUGAUAUUGUACGUCAGCCUUCUGUUUUAGUUUCACAAAACAUUGGCCAGGCUCCCCAAUCUUCUUAUCACGCACUUGAUUCUUUAUAUAUCUCUUAUUUUGAGACUGUGGGUGUUGUGUCAUCUACUCCUAUUUAGCUUGACUUAAGCAAUGUACUGUGUGUAUGCACAGGCUCCAUAGAUUUUUCUUUUGAAUUUCUGUGUGAAAUUGAUGCCUUUGUGUUUAGCUAGAUCAAUAAUUUGAAAUUUGGAGCUUUGAGUGAGACUUGAUACAGCCUACAGUUCGGGCGAAUGCUUUUUCGACAGAGCCAAGGAUAUGCAUGGUGUUCAGGCGCUUAACUCAAAGAGACUACAGCCGAUGGGGUAACUUCUGGGUUUACAACAUGCCUACGAGAAAUUGAAAUCUCGAGUCGCUUGAUGCACUUGGUUUACAUAGAUGAGGCACAUGGACAGUGUUUGUUAGAACUAAUCUUGUUAAUUUGUAGUUCAUCGUGUUUAUUUAUUUGAGUUGUUCAUGUUAUCGAGAUGUCUAGGCGGAAAGCUGCGGCCGUGUGCACUGUAGAGAUGUGUUCAGGUGUACAAGGUAAUGCUUAGUCGUGUCAUCAUAGAUUAGCUUGGUGUUGUGCAUGUAUGGCACCAAGUCUGGACGCUGUUAGUUAGUUAGUUGCAUGCCUAGUGAGUAGGAGGAGAGUUCCACGUACAUGCAUGAAUUGAUUGAGCUAGCUCUUAGAGAUAGGAUUAGCAGUGGACUUGGUAAUCACCCGUUGUGCAGAGAGAUAGAGCACGUCUUCCGUUGCGAGGAGAGUGGCCGAAUGGUGUGGCCGACGUGGUUGCUUGUUCCUAUCUUCUGGCUAGUGGAGAUAAGCAUUCGUGGGCUUGCUGAGUGUAUGUACGUAGCACUAUUUAUAGGCAUUGUAACCAGCUGAGUUCAUUGAGUUGAAUAAGAGAAAAAAGGCACGAAGGUGCGGUGCCAGAAAAAGUCUCUGUGUGUUCUUCUCCAAUGUGUAUAUGUGUGUGUUGAUCCUUGGGCAAAUUCUGUCAUUUGGUAUCAGAGCCAGCUGCGAGGUUCGUGUCUUCAUCGCCGUCAAGCUGCGUCACGAGCGAAGGAGGAAGAUGUGCUGCCCGGUAAGUCACGUCGCCGACAGCAAGGAGUUGAUGGCCAUGACGCAGAGGCCAUCGCCAUGAUGAGUUCGCCGUUCAUGUCCGAGUCGUCGACAAGGUGCGGCAUCGACGAUAACAUGAAGACGAGUCACCGGCGAGCUGCGUCACCGGUGGCGAACAUGGAGGCGAGCCACCGGCGAGGUGCGGCACCGGCGGCGAACAUGCGGCAGCGAGUGUGUCAUGAUGGCAUGCUCGCGGUGAAGGAGUAGGAGGUGUGUCUCUCGCCGAGGCCAACAGAGAUGGUGACAAAUCGGUGUGAGAAGUUGGCAAUGGCGGCCAUCUACGUGUUGCACUGACGACAUCGACAGCCAUGGCUUCAAGAGAGGAAUAAGUAACAACAAUAUUAGGGAGGUGAUUGUUAGAACUAAUCUUGUUAAUUUGUAGUUCAUCGUGUUUAUUUAUUUGAGUUGUUCAUGUUAUCGAGAUGUCUAGGCGGAAAGCUGCGGCCGUGUGCACUGUAGAGAUGUGUUCAGGUGUACAAGGUAAUGCUUAGUCGUGUCAUCAUAGAUUAGCUUGGUGUUGUGCAUGUAUGGCACCAAGUCUGGACGCUGUUAGUUAGUUAGUUGCAUGCCUAGUGAGUAGGAGGAGAGUUCCACGUACAUGCAUGAAUUGAUUGAGCUAGCUCUUAGAGAUAGGAUUAGCAGUGGACUUGGUAAUCACCCGUUGUGCAGAGAGAUAGAGCACGUCUUCCGUUGCGAGGAGAGUGGCCGAAUGGUGUGGCCGACGUGGUUGCUUGUUCCUAUCUUCUGGCUAGUGGAGAUAAGCAUUCGUGGGCUUGCUGAGUGUAUGUACGUAGCACUAUUUAUAGGCAUUGUAACCAGCUGAGUUCAUUGAGUUGAAUAAGAGAAAAAAGGCACGAAGGUGCGGUGCCAGAAAAAGUCUCUGUGUGUUCUUCUCCAAUGUGUAUAUGUGUGUGUUGAUCCUUGGGCAAAUUCUGUCAUUGUUAAGUUCUGUGUACAUUUCUAAGCAGCGGCCUCGGAACUACCUUCUCUAAAUGUCUGAUGGGUGCUCUGUAUUCAGCUGCCUAUCUGGGAUGGACAGUUGUAUAAAAAAAACUUAGCUUUUCUGUUUCAUCUUUUUAAUGCUGCUUUCCGUCGCUAUUGAAAGUACAUGUGAUGGCAUCUA